rnacentral:rRNA from 1 species
CAGUCGCCGCGGUAAAACGAGGGGGGCAAGCGUUGUUCGGAAUUAUUGGGCGUAAAGGGUGCGUAGGCGGUUUGAUAAGUCAACUGUGAAAUCUCUGGGCUCAACCCAGAGUCUGCAGGCGAAACUGUCGGGCUUGAGUAUGGGAGAGGUGAGUGGAAUUUCCGGUGUAGUGGUGAAAUGCGUAGAUAUCGGAAGGAACACCUGUGGCGAAAGCGGCUCACUGGACCAUAACUGACGCUGAUGCACGAAAGCUAGGGGAGCAAACAGGAUUAGAUACCCGAGUAGUCCCUGUCUCUUAUAA